UUUACUGUGAAUUAGAGUUAAAAAUCCAUAAUUGCCAUUCAGUUAAUACCAGUUUCAUCAUUAUUACUGAAGAGGUGCUGAAGUGAAUUUUCUUGCUACAGAGAGGUGGGAAGGUGACACAAACAGGUGUUCCGCUGGUAAUCCCCAUCGAGUGACUGGAUGAUCUGUAAAAGAGGAAAACAACCCGGCCAGAGUCAGGGGCGGCCAGCAGAUGGCCCUGUGGAGCGCCGCCUGACCCCCGAGCAAGCUGCGUGCCCCAAGGACCUGCCCCAAGGACCUGCCCCGAGAUCACAUGCCUCUCUGCCACUCACUCUGGAGACCAGAAACCUCGAGGUGCCGUCUUCACUUGGCUCCUCUCUCACGCAGCCUCGAUGGAGAAGGUGGGUCCCCGGCGUGGGGGCCCCAGGAGGCAGAGGGCUCUCUGUACGGGAGGUUCCGUAGAGCACCUAAGGAAGCCGUGCGCCUGGCUCUUCCGUUCCAGCUCUUCCCUACAUCUUCUUUCACGCUGCAGCGGAAACCAGAAUGCCUAUAAUUCCUUCAGAACCAAAGGCUCAAGCGGCGCUACCUAUGUGUUCGCUUCUUACAUCCCCCGGACGUCGCUGCAAUUCCACACGACAGCCCUUAUCUGAGAAUUCUUUCAAGUUUGCCAAAUGUCCUCUACCAUAGAAACACCUCAAUUAAAAUAAGAGUUUCCAAACUGU